rnacentral:rRNA from 1 species
AACGAACGCUGGCGGCAGGCCUAACACAUGCCAGUCGAGCGCGCCCUUCGGGGUGAGCGGCGGACGGGUGAGUAACGCGUGGGAACGUGCCCUUUUCUACGGAAUAGCCUCGGGAAACUGAGAGUAAUACCGUAUACGCCCUUUGGGGGAAAGAUUUAUCGGAAAAGGAUCGGCCCGCGUUGGAUUAGGUAGUUGGUAGGGUAAUGGCCUACCAAGCCGACGAUCCAUAGCUGGUUUGAGAGGAUGAUCAGCCACACUGGGACUGAGGCACGGCCCAGACUCCUACGGGAGGCAGCAGUGGGGAAUCUUAGACAAUGGGGGCAACCCUGAUCGAGCCAUGCCGCGUGAGUGAUGAAGGCCUUAGGGUUGUAAAGCUCUUUCAGCUGGGAAGAUAAUGACGGUACCAGCAGAAGAAGCCCCGGCUAACUCCGUG